rnacentral:rRNA from 1 species
CAUGGUGGUUAUUGCGUUGGGGAUCACUUCUUCCCAUUCCGAACAGAAUAGUUAAGCCCAACUGCGCCGAUGGUACUGGAUAAAACCGGGAGAGUAGGUCGCCGCCAUAC